CGGCGCUGGUAGCGUAGGCAGUGUUGGCUCCUUCGGCGGAUCUUACGGAGGCGCAUCCUACGGCGCUGGAAUCGGUUCCUACGGAUCCGGCUUUGACAGUGGAUCUUACGGAGGUGCUUCUCUCGGAGGCGCAUCUUACGGAGGUGCAUCCUACGGAUCCGGCUAUGACACUGGAUCUUACGGAGGCGCUUCUCUCGGAGGCGCAUCUUACGGAGGAUCUUACGGAUCUGGUGCUGGAUCUCUCGCCUCUUACGGAUCUCAUGGCUCAAUUGAAUCCAUCGGAUCUGGAGCCUCUUACGGUGGCAUCUCAUCUGGUUCCUACGGUGGAUCUUACGGAUCUGGUGGUCUUGAAUCUGUCGGAGGAUCUUACGGAAGCGGAGCCUCUUAUGGAGGCGGCUCAUCUUAUGGUGGAUCGUACGGAAGUGGAGCUUCCUACGGCGGAUCUUAUGGUUCCUCCAGCGACGCCAACGCCUGGAAAAACGAUUAAUUAAUACUCGUGCGAUCUCUAAAAGACUGAGAUGUGACCCUCAAAGAAAGUAUCUCUCCUCACAGACCCACGAAAGAUCGGGCUGUAAAUCAUUCAGCGUGUACAUCCAUUAAGUGCAUAACGAGGACGAGCUUUACUACCCUCAUUGCAAGGCGCUGUGAAAACAAGGGACUGUUGGGGAAAAGCAAAAAAAGUCAAUCAUUGUUCAACCUGAAGUUACCAUGUUCCACGUUACCAGUCGAACUUGUUCGUUACCUCCUUUUCGUUCGGCUAGUUCAAUCCUAUUUCAUUAUGUUAAUGAAAUUAAUGCACCAAGUGACGGCUAGUGAAUUUGCCGCAAAUUGUAGUCGUACACUUGUGCAAUAUUACGAAGUCAUUUGUAUAGUUUUUUAAAAUAAAUUUUAAUUACUAUUAGUAAAA